UUAGGGUCCGCAUGAAGCACCAACCAAGACUCAAGAUCAAGCUUCAGAAGACUUAUAGAUAUGAAUCUUAUAACUCGUAGCUGAUAAGCUUAGUUAGUCUUUUUCAAUUUUGAUGUAAUAAUAGGACAGCGGACCGGAGCCUCGGACGGAACCUCGACUCUCAACCUCGGUACUUCUUCACUUCUGAACUGCACCUGACCUGAUUCCUUUAUAGCCAAGGAUAUGUAGGCAUCCUUUGAAGCAAGAUUCGGUCAGAUAGUUUUUCAAAAAAUGCUUCUUAUGGGAGUUUCAAAUGGGCAAAAAUCCCUCACAGUGUUUACUUUAUCUUUGCCCGAAAACUCUUCGUGUUUCCGAGCAAAUAGGGGCAGCUGUAAACACGGGAUUUUUUUCCUACAUGAAGAUAACUCCUAAAAGUAAGUCAAAAUAAUUUUUUUGCUCUUUUAGAAAUUUUUUCUUUUGUAGUCUCAUUUCAUACAUUUUAAUAUUUUAAAAUCACAAUAAUAAAAUACAAAAAUACAUAUUUGCAUUUAGUAUCUAAUUUCAUAUUUUAAGAUUAAUUAAGGGUUAAUUUGUAUUAGAACAAAAUAGGAAGAAAAUAACAAAAAUAGUACCUUUUGCAUUAUUAGUUUAAAUUUGUAUUAGUUUGUAUUUUUAUUAGGAAUUAAUUAGGAAAUCUAAUUUUUAGUGUUAAUUUUGUUCAUUUAACAAAAUCAGAAAAUAGAAUACAAACUAAGUAAAUAAAAUACAAAAAGAAAAAAAGAGAGGAAGAUAAAAGGAAAAUGGGAGUAAAAAAUGGGAACAACCUUCCCCUUAAAAUAUUUCCCCAUCUAAAAUCUUCCCCCAAAAUAUUUACCCACAUAACACCUUCCCCCAAAUAAAACUCCCUCACGUAACACCUCACCCCACAUCCUUUAUAAAACCAUCUUGCCACAACCAAAAGAAAAGAAAUACACAAAAAUUGAACGCCUACAAUGAUAAAAGAAAAAGAAUACCUAAGACCUGAGACCCCAAAGUGAAAUCAGUGGUAUUCCUUCAUCAUCCUCACCCCAUCAGCGACCAAGAUUUCUUCACCCAAAACACAAAUCAAACACACACAAAAUAGGCAUAUAUAGAUAUAGUAGGGAGCAUCGAUCUUAAGCAGCUAGAAGGCUCACUCGUGAAUUAGUUCUCCAAAACCCCGGUUAUUUUUGCACUUCUUUCUACUCAACUCAUUGAGGUUGCUGACACGGUCUCCGAUUCGCGCCAAUUUUUUUGUUUGAAUUUGGAAUUCCGGCAACAUCAGUUGUCAAUUGAGGUUGCUGACGCGGUCUCCGAUUCGCGCCAAUUUUUUUGUUUGAAUUUGGAAUUCCGGCAACAUCAGUUGUCAAUUUCAGUCAUCGGUGGAGCGUCGAGGUCGAUAGGUGUUCCGUUCGGCGUCACAGGUCGUGGUUCUGGCUUCGGGUUCAUUAUUCCCGGUUUCUGUCCUUGUCUUGAUUUACAAGAGAAUUUUCUAAAGUUCGUAAGUCCCUUAUUCCUUUUCAUUUGGAUCUGUUUUGUUCAGUUUUACUCAGCUUUUUAAUAAAUAUGUACUUUUGGUUUCAACUGUAUUAUGCUUUGGUAUUGCGAUUUUCUUUUUGGUUUUGAUGAAGAAUCUAAAUUUGAUGUUGAAAAGUUUGUAAAAAAUUUGAUCUCUUAGUUAGGAAAAUAUGUGGAUAUGAGUAAGAGAGUGUACUGUUGCUCGGCCUGUUUGGUUUGAAUUAUUUAGGAAAUUUGUUCUUAGAUAAAUGGUAAAAUAUAAUCAAUUCAAUGAAAUGAUGGUUUUAUUUGCUCAAUUGGAAGUUUUGAAAGUGAAGGGAUUGUUUUUUAUCUGUUGAUCCUCUUUUGGAUAGUUUUCCUUGUACUGGUUUUGUUAGUAAAAGGACGAAAAUAAUUUUGAUGUCUAGUAUGUCAUCUUAUUCAUGUUCUUUAUCUAUUUUGUUGCUCGUAUCCCUCCAUUUAUAUUUAUAAAUACAUGAAAUUAAAAAAAAGAAUUUAGGAACUUGUUAGAAUAGGAAAGUAAAUAAGAUGAUGCUUUAAAUGAAAUUCAUUUCGUCAAUAAUAUUCCAGCUAGUCUAUCUUCUUAAUCAAUAAAGUUUGUUCCACAUAGAUAAUUCUAACAACUAAAUUCUACCCUCUUUCUACAAUAACUUUUCUAUACAUGGCUUAAUUAAUUUUAACUCUUUAGAAAUCGAGGUGUACCAUUAGUUGAAUUUUCAUGGCCCUCGCGAAGAUAACAACGUGUUAGAAUCUUUAGGCGCGAUUUAAUUAAAUUACUUUCUUAAACUCGGGUGCGCAUUAAUGCGACCCAAAUCCAAAUCUCGACGAAGUCGAAAUGUGUUGAUAACCACGGGUGUCUUGAUGGCGACGUGGUUAGAAACGCGUUUUCAUGACGUCGUAAUUUUUAUAAAAUAAAUAAUGAUAAAAAGGGUUCAAAAAUGGAGACGAGUCUCACCGAACAAAAAUAAAUGAGGGGCCCUUAAUAUUUGGUUAUUAAAAUGAUUAGAAUUCGGAAGGGCCUUUUAGCGAAUUUCAACGGCCUUUCCCAAACAAUAUUACGUUAGAAUCUCUAAGCACGAUUUAAUUAAUUUAUGUUCUUAAACUCGGGUGGCAUUGAUGCGAUCCAAAUCCAAAUCUCGACGAAGUCGAAAUGUGUUGACGACCACGGGUGCCUUGAUGGCGACGUGGUCAGAGACGUGUUUUCACGACGUCGCAAUUCUUUUAAAAUAAAUAAUGGUAAAAGCGGUAUAUAAAUAAAGGGCACAUAAGUUAGCAUGUAUUAAAAUCAGAUAAAAUCAAAUACAACAGUUAAGCGACCAUCUUCUUCAAAAUAAAUAAAAGCGGUUUUAAAAUUAAAUGCACAUAGGUUAAAACUUGUUUUUAAAAUCAAAUAAUUAAUCCAAUGAUAACAGUUGAGUGACCGUGCUAGGACCACGGAACCCGGGAAUGCCUAACACCUUUUCUCGGGUUAACAAAAUUCCUUAUCCGGAUUUCUGGUUCGCAGACGGUAAUGCAGAGUCAAUCUUUUCCUCGGUUCGGGAUUAAACCGGUGACUUGGGACACCAUAAAACCUCCAAGUGGCGACUCUGAAUUUUUAAUAAUCAAAUCUCAUUCUGAUGUCCUUUAAUUGGAAAAACUCCUUUACGCUCCCUUUGCUGGGGGUAUAGCAAAAAAAGGAGGCGUGACAUGUGGUAAUUCUCAGUUAGUGGAAUUCUUGAAUAGGGAAAUAUGUUGCACGAGAAAUUAUUGUGAAAUUAGUAUCAUUUGGUGGUUGUCAAAUUGGUUAUUGAUAUAAAGUUCCUCCAGUUAUAGUCUGAUCUGACAUGACCAAGCUUUAUCAAGCUUAAUAUGUAAAGAAUCUUGUAUGAUCUAUCUGCUCCAGGGUUGCUCGACUUUUGAAUGGGAAGAAGUGAAUAAGGCAAUGAUUAUUUGGCAAAAUGGUAAACUAGCUGAGGGUCCCUAUGUUUAUGUUACUUUUGGCAAACUAAGGACCUGUUAGUUCAUAGAUAUUUUUUCCCUUUUUUGAAUUUUUUUUUUGUUCAUGAAAUUUUGCAAGUUUUUACAAUAUUUAGAAAAUGAUUUUUUUCAAAAUUUUCAGAAAUUUUUGGUUCCUCACUAAUAAAUCUAUAACCUUUUUUCAAGUGAAAUGCAUGUUCAAACAUAAUUACAAAUUUCAAAUUUCAGUUUUCAACUUAAUUUGAAAUACUAUUUUUUUUUUCAAAAUUACAAUUUUUGUGUCUGAAUGCCUACUAAGAUUCUAGCAAUAAGCUAAUAAUGAAUAUGCUCUGCGAAUUUCUCGCAGAUUGCAUGACAAUAUAUAAUGUGGUGUUUUCUUUUACCUGCCAAAAACUAGGAUUGUAGCAAGAGUUCCUUUUAGUUUUCUUUUUCCUUUUGGGGGAGGCGGUAAGGGAGGACACUUUGGGACAAAGCCCCCCCUUCUUAUCCUCAAAGGCUAGCUAAGCAAAAUGGUGAAGUCUAAUCCAAGAAGUUCAUUCAAAUAUUGAAGGGUUUAUCCAUUAACGUGCCAUUGGUAAAAGCUUUGGAGCAAAUGUUUCCCCCAUUUCUCUCAUACACACCUCAAUGAGCAUUUCUAAUGAGCAGAAAGAGAGUGUUCUGUAUCGCAACAGGUACCUUUUUUCCCUCUUCUAAGGAGGGAAUGAGUGAGGGAAAAUUUAAGAUUGUUCAGCCACAGCGCAUAAAAGUGAAUCCAAUGCCUCGAUUUCAGAAUCUAAUGUAGACACACAGAAUCUAUUACAAUAAGAAGAGUCAUGUAAUGGAGGAUGGAUUAAAGAAUGAAUGAAAUUAGAGAACACUAGACUAAGCUCCCCUACCAAAACUUCAAUCGAAUACCACAAUUGUGUGCAACGGCUGCAGCAAUAGAUAAAAUGUAUGCAUAUCCAACCAAGAUAGCAAGUGCAGUGAAUGGUGAGACAAAGAGGGUAUCAAUGGACAGGUUAAUCAAUCCGGUUAGCACGUUAGCCUGCAUGAUCAAAUGAUGAUUUUGUGACUGAUCUGAUCACCCAGAAAUCAAAGGAUGAACAGAAAGCAUUAUAGGACAAUAGAUGUCAGCAAUAAAUUUUUCUCACCAGAAGAAAAGAGCCCAGUAAGUUUCGAUCAAAAACUUCUAUCAACGCAGCAACUUUAUAUCCAGGUACAUAAUCAGCUAGAGUUAAAACUGCAAAAACCUGAAAAAGAGAAAUGUUGAGCCAUGCCUAAAUCAAAAAAGAAAUGAAACAUUAUACGGAAUCAUAAUUGCAUUAUGAAAUUAUGCAUCAUUGCAUUCAAGAGAAAUUUGCUCAAGUAAUCCACAAGUUCUUCCCAAGAAAGCAUGAAAACUAAUUAAAGUCUUCCCCUAUCCAAAAGUCCGGUCCUGUUCCCUUACCGAAAGUGAAGUGAAUCUACUUUUGACCAAACUUUUUAGAAAUGCGUUCACAACAUUUCGAAAAAGCAACACUUAGUUUGUAUAAGUGUAUAUCAAGUUCAAUCUUAGAAGAAAAAUUAUAAGCGUCCUACUUCACUCAAGAAUGUGGUCAAUCAAUCUAUCACAAAAAGUGAAAUAGAAUUAGCAUUUCCGAGCAGACUAGAAGCAACCAUCGAUCCCCCAGUCCUGAGCUCAAUGACAUCCAUUUCAUUGUAUUACUCAAAAGACGUCCUUUCACUAAACUGCACAAGUGACCCCAAACUAAUUAACUUGUUGGAGAAAUUUAGAGUUUAGUCUUCCUUACAAGUCACAGUUGGGUCCAUGCUAUUCUAGAAAGUAGUGAUGAAACUCUUUGUGCUUCAUAGUUAUUAUUUUCACAGAGCUCAAAGCUCUGAUCAGCUAAAUGAAUCCUUUAAAUCCACUCCUCUCUAUUUGUAUCCAUUUCAUUCCAAUACUGGUAAACAGUUGUCUAUAAAGCAAUUAAGAAUUCUCUAAAAAAAGAGGUUCUCUAAAUCCUACACUUAUUUCGAUACUAACAUACAAGUUUCUAACCAAACUAUAAAUAUUCCUGACAAGCAACAGAUGUAGUGUAACUAUAAGAACAUAACUAGACCAAAUUCCAACCAGCUGGUACAGUCUAUAUGGAUCCUUUACUUCCAUUAUCUUCUGUCUUUACCUAAAUAUGCAGUUAUGCACUGAUUUUGACAAAUCCUGUGUUUUUUUAAGACAACUUCCUUUCAUGUGAUUCUACGUCUACCUUAUACUCUUUUAGCACCUUCAAUCAUCAUAGUCCACACCUACAAACCAGCUUAUUUGAGGUACAUAGAACAUGAUCAACCAUCUACAAAUGACAACCAUCUACUUGCACCCUCUAUCCGAUGUAAUUUUAUUGAAUUCAACUACGUAUUUAUAUUAACUUGUGCAUUUCUAGGACAUUCAACAACAACAACAACAACUACCCAGUAUAGUCCCACCAGGUGGGGUCUGGGGAGGGUAAUNNNNNNNNNNNNNNNNNNNNNNNNNNNNNNNNNNNNNNNNNNNNNNNNNNNNNNNNNNNNNNNNNNNNNNNNNNNNNNNNNNNNNNNNNNNNNNNNNNNNNNNNNNNNNNNNNNNNNNNNNNNNNNNNNNNNNNNNNNNNNNNNNNNNNNNNNNNNNNNNNNNNNNNNGAGAAAAGGAAAAACAAAAAUAAAAGGCUAUUUCCAAUUGACCCUCGGCUCAGUGGAGAAAAGGAAAAACAAAAAUAAAAACAAAAGCAAAAAUAAUAGAGCAUUAGUAACUCCAGCAGAAAUAGCGUAAAUAAUUUCUAGGACAUUCAUCUUGUGGAUAUAUUGCAUCCCUGAGACACUACACCUACUCGUGUAUAAUGUUGGUCCCAUAACCAAUGUGUAGACUUUGCUUUCACUUUGUUAGGUAUCGGGUUGAAGGAAGAUCUUUUGUGUAAACCAGGUUUAACAGAAAUCUCUUUGCAUCUCUUCCCACUGUUCUCAUACUUGUAACUGCUCUUUUGUAAAUAUCUUUAAUACCACUUAUAUUUGAUAUGGAUCCUUUGCAAAGGACUUUCAUUCGCACUCUAUCAUAUGCUUUCCGUAGUUCACUACAUCUCAUGUAGAUAUCUUUCUUCCUCUAAAAAUUUCUACCAAUCUUCGCUGUUAUCAAACUACCAAGAAUAAACUCACUCAGCCACAUUUAUGUCCCUAAAUCCAUGCUCCAUCACUCUUUUCGCAAAGUUGUACUGUAUAAAUCAUAAGUUUAAUACACAACCAUUCGCACAUCUUUAUCUCCUUUGUUCUCAUAUAUUAGAACCAAUCUACUCUUUCUCCACUCAUUUUGCAUCUUGCUUUCCUUAAUAUAGCAUUGAAUUGCUUGGUUAGCCAUCACUCUAACUUCACCAAGGCACUUCAAAACCUCUAUAAGGAUACCGAUUGGACCACAAACCUUUCUACCCAUAAAUAAUCCAUGAUAUACUUUACUUCAACAUAAAUUAUCUAUGAAUUUAGCUAAGCUUUCUAUCUGUCACGCGUUUAUGAAUAUCAUUUAAGUCAUCCGUGUAUUUUGGAUUGAGCAUUUGAUCGAGAUAAUCUCUCCAUCUAGUCUCACUAUCUCAAAUCAAAACUUGUUGCAAAUCGUUCUUAAUACACUUGGUCCAAGUUUUUCCCCACUUUGCACUUUAUCGUGGCAUAAAUGAUGAGAGAAGGCAUCAGAAAACCUAUGAAUUCUAAGAGACAAAACUCCAUCAUCCAAUAAGAGUCACAUGUAUGUGUGCAAGCACAAACUCCAUUCACAUGUCUACAACUGGAAACAACUCCUUACUACACCUUGGAACAUAAAACAUUUCACAUUUCUAGAAUUGGAAACAACUCCUACAACACCUUGGAACGUAAAACAUUGCUUAGAUGAAUGAGUAGCUACAACACUUAAGCAAACAAAAUCUGCAUACACAACUUUGAACCAUAGUGGUCAGCUGGCUGGAUUGUGGCUUUGGAAACACAUCUGGCAGGUGAAAAAUACCAUACAAAGUUGAAUUUUUUGUUUGGCUGGUUGUGAAGAAUACUCGUCUAAGUUGUAACAUGAGAAUUUGAAGAGAAGGGGAAUGCGGCUUUGCUCUAGAUGCUACUUAUGUGGAAGGGAAGCUGAGAGCAAUAGCCAUCUUUUUUUGCAUUGUCGGAUCACAGAUUAACUUUACCAAAUCUUUUAGAAUAUAAAAGGGUUGAAAUGGAUCAUAUGCCUCAAUCAACUGGAAAGCUCCAGGCUUGCUAGAAUAAUUGUGAAUGAGUGGUCAGGCAAAAGAAAUAGUGGAAUGCUCUUCCGGCUUGUGUUUGGUGGACCAUCUGGAAGGAAAGAAACUCAGAAUUUUUUGACGAUAUAGGCAACAAUAUCUAGAAGAUUAAGAUGAAUUGUUUGUUUUUAUUUCACUUUUGGUGUAAAUAUCAUAGGAUUCUUGUAAGAUGAACUAGGGAAGUUUUCGUACACUUUGUGAAUUGUAAAUAUGGCUCUUAGUACUGCCUUUGUGCUAAUGGAGUAUAAUUCGUUAACUUUCUCAAACAAAAGGAGCCACAGGGAAGAGAGCGUUCCACAUUCUAACUAUGAAAAAGAAACUUCAAUUGCAUCUAAAUAGAUACAAUAAAAAGAAUGAAUUGAUAUUUAUUGGUGUCAAAGACUCAGACUUGAAGAAUGAGAGCAAAAAAUGGCCCAGAAAAUUCUUAAAACACACAAGUCCAGAGACAUUUAAUAACAGAGUCAAUUUAUAUGAAUCUUACCUGAAGGUUCAUAGCCAAUACUACAGUAACAUACGCCAGGUUGCACUGUUAAAAGAGUUAUUAGCCAUCUUGCCAUAAGAUUACACUGAAAACUAAGAUAUUUUCUACUGAAAACAAAAAGAGGAAUACACUACCAUUCUGCGAGAAACCCUCUCAACGUACAUGUCUAGAAAAACUGUCAACAACCUGCAACGUGAAGAGGAAGCAACAAGCUUAGAAAUAUCAGCAAUUAUAUAUCAAGGCAGAAAACAUUCAGAGAAGCAGACAAAAGAGAUACUCCAUAGAAGAAACUCAAACCAGAGUAGAAGACAAAGAAUCCAGACUCUAAUCCUUGCCCAAUCGUUUGUUCUUAACACAGCGUCUCCAGGUUUUCCAAAGAAAAGAUAACUGCCUAUUUGGACGCAAACAAGGUAUAACCCCCAAUAACCUGAUAUCAAAAGAAAUAAUCUUCUAAACCAGAAUUUACAAUCAUAACAUAAAAAAGCAAGGAAAUCAUGACAAGAAAUGCUGAAAAUAUUACGAAUUAAACCCAUCUAAUGUCGAUAGUCAUAUAAUGAAUUAAACAUCACAUUUGGUUAAAGAUGACUCAUUUCAAACCUGCUUUGAAAUGCUUUUCCUGAGCCGAGGGUCUAUAGGAAACAACCUCAAUACUUCCACAAGGUACGGCUAAGGUCUACAUACAUACUACCUUCCCCAGACCCCACCUGUGGGAAUACACGGGGUAUGUUGUUAUUUGAUUAAGGACGACUCGCGAAUACCUUCUGAGAAAGGAGAUGUAUAAGAAAAUAGAAAUAGCUAAUGCAAUGCUUCAUUAACCAUGUUUUAUUCUGCUUUGAAAAGAAAAGUCAUCGUCAGAGUUUUGACAUCUUCUAGGAAAGGGUUCCCAAAUAAACAAUUCUUGCCUUCUGCUGGAAAUGUGGGAAAGAAAUUCGACGCUUGGCAAAUUUAACCAAAAAAGAAUCAAAAAUAAUAUUUUUCUUCAGAGUGGCAAGUGUGUAUGUGUUUAUCUAGAUGUUCAUUUGUUUCAAAAUCUACAAAUUUACCUGACACAUUUGUAUUCGACCAUAGGAAAUAGUUAAUAUGCGUGCUAGAUUCAACAAAGGAAGAACCAUAAAAGAAAAUGAAUCUCCAGUUCUUACUACAAUAAAGUUACAUUACAUGGACCAACUUGCAAGAUGUGAAAUAUGUAAUUACUGCGAUAUGCAUUACAGUAAUAUCCAGAACGUACUGAAUUAACCUCUAGCUUAUUUUUAUUUUUUGUUCUGAUUUUGUAAUCAUUUGGAAACAAAACGUUCAUAGUACAUUUAGGCUAUGUUGCUCGGACUCUCCGAAAAUAACGUGUCGGAUCCUCCAAAAGUAGUGCAUUUUUUAAGGAUCCGACACGGGUGCGGCUAUAUUUUGGAGAGUCCGUGCAACAUUGCAUUUAGGUACCUUUUCUUCAGUUCUCCUGGCCCACAUCCCAAAAUUCACCCAAAUAAGUCCAAGCAUUAUUCGCAUAAUAAUUCCCCUCAAACAAGCCAGUCUCUUCUUCAAAGCAUUUCCAAAUAGACAUAAAGAGACCAUAAAACUGAACAAGCGAGUAAGCAAACGUAUGGAGAGAGAGAGUUCUCUAAUUUCAUUUCACAAAUUUAUUUUAUGUUUGUCUGAAGAUUUUACUUCACAAAACACUUACCAAAAAUGCUAAAAAUUCCUUCUUUGUUUUGGCUGAUUAUGUCAGGUCCUCUUUCGCUUGAAAGAAGAUAUUCAUUUAGCCCAAGCAACAAGAAGACCUCAUAUCCUAAAACGACAAAGAACGUUAUAGGCUUACAAAGGUAGGUACCCAAAUUUUUGAGAUGUUGCAACAAUACCUAAUAGAAUAAACCAGCCCAGAAUUCCACAAUUACUUGGCGAUAGAUUAAUCAUCGAUGUCAAAAUUGCCACAGCAGCAAGAGUGAAAAAGAAGUUCCAGUGCACACCAUAUUCACCAACGUGAACCUAUGACAAGGAAGGGAGUGACUCGUAAGAGCCAUAAUAC
rnacentral:lncRNA from 1 species